rnacentral:rRNA from 1 species
UACGGAGGGUGCGAGCGUUGUCCGGACUCACUGGGCGUAAAGGGCGCGUAGGUGGCGACCCAAGUCGAUGGUGAAAGCUCGUCGCUCAACGACGAGUCGGCCACCGAUACUGGGUUGCUCGAGCACUGUAGAGGCAGAUGGAAUUCCGGGUGUAGCGGUGGAAUGCGUAGAGAUCGGGAAGAACAUCGGUGGCGAAAGCGCUCUACUGGACCGCAACUGACACUCAGGGACGAAAGCUAGGGGAGCGAAUGGG